rnacentral:rRNA from 1 species
AACGAACGCUGGCGGCAUGCCUAACACAUGCAAGUCGAACGAGAUCUUCGGGUCUAGUGGCGCACGGGUGCGUAACGCGUGGGAAUCUGCCCUUUGGUUCGGAAUAACAGUUGGAAACGACUGCUAAUACCGGAUGAUGACGAAAGUCCAAAGAUUUAUCGCCAGAGGAUGAGCCCGCGUAGGAUUAGCUAGUUGGUGUGGUAAAGGCGCACCAAGGCGACGAUCCUUAGCUGGUGUGAGAGGAUGAUCAGCCACACUGGGACUGAGACACGGCCCAGACUCCGACGGGAGGCAGCAUUGGGGAAUAUUGGACAAUGGGCGAAAGCCUGAUCCAGCAAUGCCGCGUGAGUGAUGAAGGCCUUAGGGUUGUAAAGCUCUUUUACCCGGGAUGAUAAUGACAGUACCGGGAGAAUAAGCUCCGGCUAACUCCGUGCCAGCCGCCGCGGUAA